CCCGCCUGGGCGAGCCGGCCGAGACAUGGGCGCUGGGCAAGCCGGCUGGGGUAAACUCCCCACAAACUGGCAGGGACGUAGGAGCCUGACGAUCUGGCUAAGGCAUGAACGUCUGUCGAUCUCGCUGCGCGUGGAAGCACGAAGAUCCGGUGGAGCAUGACGUGGGAUGGGAACCUGACGAGCCAACCGAGGCAAGGAAACCUCGAGCCAGCUAGGACGUGGAAGCCCGACGAGCUGGCUUGGGCACCCUCGGUUCCAUCGGUGGCGGAAUCCAAGCCCGACGUCACCAACAAAACAACAAAACUUCUGGGCCGGCUGGGCAAACAAGACCUGACGAUCCGGCUGAGGCCCGACUUGGGAUGGGCGCCUUCCGAGCCAACCGGGGAAAGGAAACCUCUCGAGCUGGCUAGGCACCCCCGGUUCCAUCGGCAGCGACCCAGGACCAAGGUCACCACCAACUGGAACGCCAGUACUCCCCGAUGCUUCGUGUGUUGGCUGCUGCAUUCUGUAAGGAAUGACGCUGGAGAAUAGAAGCAGGUACAGGGAGUUGACAUUUAAUUAGGAAUGGACAUGCAACAGGACAGGAACAGCGUCAGAACUGGGAAACACAAAGACAGACGACAAACAAUGCAGCAGUGGGGAACAGAGCUGGGGAACUGACAAAUAUAGGGGAGGUAAUAAACAGGAGAUUGAGUGAGUCCAGAAUUCUAAUGAUGACCCGCCUCAGUGUAGCCCUCCAUACUACAGUGCCAGUAUCUAUUCCACGCUGAGGGAGUGGGGAUACUGACUGUCAACUGUGAGAUGUGGACACGCCCCGACAGCCCCUCACCUACAGCAUUGUGGGAGGGAACACUAACCGCAGAUUUACCAUGGAUGGAGCACAGCUGGUGUCCAGUGCCCAGUUCUCCUAUGGCACCCCAUGGUUUAUGAGCUGCUGGUCAGGGUUCAGGACCAUGGCAUGUCUGUAUGCUCCACUACUGCUACUGUCAUUGCCAAUGUGGUUCCCUGGACCACAACUCGACCAACAUCCAUCACCACCACCACGAUCAAGUGAUGAUGGGAAAGGUGACCUCGGACAAGCAGAGGAGGCAGAGGAGAAGCCCAACAUACCCUCAGAGAAGGACCCCGAGGAGGAGGAAGCUCUAGAGGAGAACCCCUUUACCAUGUUUAGUCUGACAACGUCUAACUGUCUACCCGUCAGUGAUAACACUUCACCAACCAUGAAAAAUACUUUUGCAGGUCUCACCUUCAGGAAAGAGGUCUUCUGACACAAAAUAAGAAUGUGUCAUAGCACACACAAUCUGACGUUUGAUUGAUUGUAAAUGUGAGGCCACGGUUCCAAGCAUCUCACUGCCUGGCAGUAAUGAUGUCACUUUAUUGAUUUACUGACGGAUUUACUCAUCGAAAUGGAAAGAUAAUUCCUUUUAAGUCUAUGGAUUUACUGGUUAUGACUGAAUGACUAAGACAAUUAUUUUUGUCAUUCACGCUCAGCGGUUCAACAGCAGAGCUCACGAUCCAGGACCUGAGCCCUAGGACCAUGCCUCAGGAUACCUGGCAUGAUGACUCCUUGUUGUCCCCAGUCCACCUGGCCGUGCUGCUGCUCCAGUUUCAACUGUUCUGCCUGCGGCUAUGGAACCCUGACCUAUUCACUGUGAUUACUAUUAUUUGACCAUGCUGGUCAUUUAUGAACAUUUGAACAUAUGGCCAUGUUCUGUUAAAAUCUUCACCCGGCACAGCCAAAAGAGGACUGGCCACCCCUCAUAGCCUAGUUCCUCUCUAGGUUUCUUCCUAGGUUUUGGCCUUUCUAGGGAGUUUUUCCUAGCCACUGUGCUUCUACACCUGCAUUGCUUGCUGUUUGGGGUUUUAGGCAGGGUCUCUGUACUGCACUUUGAUAUAUCAGCUGAUGUAAGA
rnacentral:lncRNA from 1 species